rnacentral:rRNA from 1 species
AUUGAACGCUGGCGGCAGGCCUAACACAUGCAAGUCGAACGGUAACAGAAAGCAGCUUGCUGCUUUGCUGACGAGUGGCGGACGGGUGAGUAAUGUCUGGGAAACCGCCUGAUGGAGGGGGAUAACUACUGGAAACGGUAGCUAAUACCGCAUAACGUCGCAAGACCAAAGAGGGGGACCUUCGGGCCUCUUGCCAUCGGAUGUGCCCAGAUGGGAUUAGCUAGUAGGUGGGGUAACGGCUCACCUAGGCGACGAUCCCUAGCUGGUCUGAGAGGAUGACCAGCCACACUGGAACUGAGACACGGUCCAGACUCCUACGGGAGGCAGCAGUGGGGAAUAUUGCACAAUGGGCGCAAGCCUGAUGCAGCCAUGCCGCGUGUAUGAAGAAGGCCUUCGGGUUGUAAAGUACUUUCAGCGGGGAGGAAGGGAGUAAAGUUAAUACCUUUGCUCAUUGACGUUACCCGCAGAAGAAGCACCGGCUAACUCCGUG